rnacentral:lncRNA from 1 species
CAGAUUUUGUCUUGUUUCAGUGGUAGUUUGGAAUCAUUCCAGUAAAUGCUUAUAACAGAAAUAACAACAAUUUCAAAUUUACUAGAGCAAAGAAAAGUUAUCAAAAUUUGAAACAAUAUUAUUCAGUGUUUCACAAUUUGCCAUCGUUAUUUUCACAUGUCGUUUUUAACCCCAUUCUGCAAACGUUAAGUUCCUGCAUGUUAUGCAGCCAUGUAAUAGAAAUGAUAUUCCACCCACAUCUCAAUAUGCUCUGUAGUUUUGUGAACAUCUUUUCUUAAAGCCUCUCUGUAUAGCCAACUAUGUUUAUAAAGUUGUCAUUGUCCAAUAGUUAGCUACCUAAAAGUUUUUAUGCCCUAUAUAUUAACCAUCUUGUCUGAAUACAUUGAAAUCAUUGGAGGGUAUUCAAAUGAAACCUUUAUAUCAUUGUGAUGUCUUUUACAAAAAACAAAAAACUAAAAUAAAAAAAAAUUCAUUUAUAUAAAUUUUAAGAAGUCUAUCUUUGAUUGCGAAAACCUGUGUUUUUUUACUAAAAUGAUCCUACUGAUUAUUCUUUCUUUGUAAAUUUUUCUUUCUUUUUUAAAACAUGUAACCAAUUUUUACAUUCAUUUUUCUUUUAUAUUUUCUUUUUCCUUUCCUCUCUUACCAUGUUGUUUGUGAUGUACAAAGUUUUUGCAAAAUGUCAUAUUUAUAUGCAAAAGUGUAACAUCAUGCAGUGUUGUAUAUUUUUGUGUCUUUGGAACAUUACUAAGAACAAAGUCUAGUAAAUUCAUCCCUCAGCAACAGAGCUGAACCAUUGACACAUCCUUGCUUCAAUGGUUGAUAGAUAUAUCUGCACUUUCAGAGAAACAUUCAAAUAGUUAUAAGGUAUUUUAAAAAAGAAAAAAAGAUAAAAUAAAAAGAACUAAAAGUCAAAAUAUAUAUAAAAAAAAUUAUAAAAAAGAGCUAAACAAAAGAAAGAAACCCCCUAUAAUUUCUCUCAAGGUAUCAAGAUUAAAUGUCCGCUACUGUGGCCUAUUCACUGUGUCUGUAGUCUAUUUUUUUAUCUGAUUGAACUGUGAUGAAAUUAUGCAACAGCAGAUUGGUGGUGAAAGACUUGCACAAUAAAAAAACAGUAACUGUUCUGAAAUUCAGCUGUUCCUGAAUUAUGAAUUGAUUUUCUACUCCCCCCCCUCCUCUCCUUUUCCUGCCCAUUUAUCUAUAUUCUUUCCUCACUCACCAUUUACAGUUUUAUUCCCUCCCUCACUUUUUGACUUUUGCAGAGUUUUGUAUUUUUUAUUUCUCAACAUCAGUAAACACAAACAAACACACACACACACACACAUACAGAUGCAUACAUAACCUAACAUAACACACAUAUCAUUAUAUCCUUUGUAUCCUUUAUUAAAGAAAAAUGUUUUGGUUUUUUGUUUGUUUGUUUGUUUUUUGUUUUUUUUUUAUUAAUAAACUCAUAACUAUGUUUGUAUUAAUAUGCUGGAAAAUUGUUUUUAUUUUGUUUUUUUUUUUUUAAAGUUUUUACUGAAAGUGCAUGUGUGCAUGCAUGUGCAUAUCACAUAAUAAGUUCUGAAGUUUUUAUUCUCCAGGAGGAGUUCUAGUUAAGAGAUGUCACCACUUAUCAUCAAAACAUUUUUUUUUUUUUGCAUCUGCUUCUUCCUCUCUUUCAUUCAUUCCAACUUUUAUUUUUGUUGUUCCAAUUUUUUUUUAAAAACUUUAUUUCCACUGUAAAUGAAAAAUCUCAUGAAAUUCUCCUGUGGUCUCUUCACUAGACCUCCAGAAAAUUCAUUUCCCUCUUCCCAACCAUUUCACCACAAUAAAGCUUCUAUCAACAAAGGAAAGAGUAAGAGAGUAAAAGCAAUUUAUUUUGCUUUGUUUAUGUAUUGGACAAAUGACUGAGCUCAUAUGUAGAGAGAGAGCUAAGUUUAGCUUAUUUCAGUGGUGUUCAGAAGUCAAAAUAUUCCCAACAUUUAAAAAAAAAAAAUAAACCAAUAAAGAAAUAUAACAACUAACAA